GAUGAAGAACGUAGCGAAAUGCGAUAAGUAGUGUGAAUUGCAGAAUUCAGUGAAUCAUCGAAUCUUUGAACGCACAUUGCGCCUUCUAGGAUUCUGGGAGGCAUGCCUGUUUGAGCGUCAUUAAACCUCUCUCAAGUAUGAUUACUUGGAUGUGAAGGAAGAGUACCUUAAACUUAAGGAGUGUUCUCCUUUGAAAUUGAUUAGCAGAUGGUAAUGUUAUUAAAUCCCUGAUGUUGUAAGAAAUAACAGUGGUUUUGUAGACUAUUAUCUAGCUUUAAAUUAUAAUUUUUAUUAUGGUUGACCUCAAAUCAGGUAAGGAUACCCGCUGAACUUAAGCAUAUCAAUAAGCGGAGGA
rnacentral:misc_RNA from 1 species